rnacentral:misc_RNA from 1 species
UUUACAUUCUCAGUGUGACUUGGUGUUCAAAACCCAGUCACGUUGGAAGCUGAGGGGUUGCUGGUCAUUUAUCAGCUCCCUUAAAAUGCAUUGGUGGAAUGAGCCAAAUUGGCUUCGGUUUUGAUAUAUUAUCUGUGCCGUUGCUGAGGAGCUCUUCUUCUGUCUAGGUCUCCUGGAGGAGACUGUCUAUAUUGGACAAUAUCUACUUUUGA